rnacentral:piRNA from 1 species
UAUACAUAAGGCUGCAUAGGAGAGGCCACA